AGUGAACGCUGGCGGUAGGCCUAACACAUGCAAGUCGAACGGCAGCACAGUAAGAGCUUGCUCUUACGGGUGGCGAGUGGCGGACGGGUGAGGAAUACAUCGGAAUCUACUUUUUCGUGGGGGAUAACGUAGGGAAACUUACGCUAAUACCGCAUACGACCUACGGGUCAAAGCAGGGGAUCUUCGGACCUUGCGCGAUUGAAUGAGCCGAUGUCGGAUUAGCUAGUUGGCGGGGUAAAGGCCCACCAAGGCGACGAUCCGUAGCUGGUCUGAGAGGAUGAUCAGCCACACUGGAACUGAGACACGGUCCAGACUCCUACGGGAGGCAGCAGUGGGGAAUAUUGGACAAUGGGCGAAAGCCUGAUCCAGCCAUACCGCGUGGGUGAAGAAGGCCUUCGGGUUGUAAAGCCCUUUUGUUGGGAAAGAAAAGCAGCAGGUUAAUACCCCGUUGUUCUGACGGUACCCAAAGAAUAAGCACCGGCUAACUUCGUG
rnacentral:rRNA from 1 species